rnacentral:tRNA from 1 species
AAUGGCAGAAAAGUGCAAUGGAUUUAAGCUCUAUAUAUAAAGUUUAUACUUUUUUUAGAA